UGGACUUGACAUGUUAGUAGUACUGAACCGAAAGGGGAUGGACUUCGUUGUUAACGGAGAGCUAACAC
rnacentral:rRNA from 1 species